AUGGCCCACCAGAGAAGUCCCCCCCGCCCCCCGCCAAAGUUCUUGUUCUUUAUACAACAGCACCCUGUACCCCACAAGGUUCCCUCACUCUCAGCCCCCACGUGUAGUUCUCUCAUGCAGCUUUGCACAAACAUUUACUGUGUCCAGCACUGGGCCAGGGGUAGGGGGAAGCCACAUGCAGCGGUUUCAGCUGGAGGUCGGGAUGCCUGGGUUCUGAAAGAGCAGCGGAAUGUGGAAAGCAGCCAAGGGCUGAGAAUCCAAAGGCUGAAGUCAUGUGAAGGGGUGAGGAGGGGAGCGAAAGGGAUGGGCCACCUGGCUGGUAUCAGAGAGGAAAACAGCUACGGACAGCAUGGGGCCUGGGCCACGAAAUGCUGUUCUGGUAAAAAAUCAUACCACAUCCAUGGCAGUCAUUUCCUGUCUUCUGCCUCUCCACGGAUUGAGAAAGGGAGGGGUGCGGAGGCCAGAAUGAUGUACUCCAGCUUUGCAGCCCCACCCUCUGCUAUCCCCCUCCCCAGAGGGAGAGGACUGAGUGGGCAGGUUUUUACUCCCUGGACUUCCAGGCUGAUGAAUGAAAACAGCUGUGCCUAAAAUAGUCCAGGGCCUGGAGGUCUUCUGCAUCUGUGGCCCCUGACAAGAAAACCUCCUCCGGUCGGGGCGGGGAAUGCCUGGGGAACACCAGGUUUUUAAAUGACCCUGAAUCCACUUCAGAGUCAGGGAGGCAGCUGGCACGAAAAUAGUUUAUUAUUGGGGGAGCCCCAGAGAGAGAAAGGGAGCAGGUGGGAAAGGGCCAGAAUGUGGGGACUUGGCCCUACUCGCUUCAGGAGCUGGAGCAGAUGGGGCGCUGUCGGACAGAGCCCGCAGAGGGCUCCGAGCUGCCCACGGUCUCUGGGGCAGGGGCAGAGCCAGAGGCAGCCAGGUUGGCCUCCGUCAGCAGAGCUGCAUCUUCCCAGGAGCCUGAACCUGGGCCAGGGGAGAGAAAACCAAAUCCCAAAGGGGAAAUUCCAGACCAGGGACCCCCGCCCCCACCCAGGGUGGCCUCCGCCCUGCUCACAUGCUCCCCCCGCCACCUGUUCCCGCCGCACAGGGUCCCUCACCAUCACCGGCCCCGGGCUCCAGCUCCUCCUCGCCACUCAGGGGCUGUUGAUCUGUUUUCUCCUCCUCGGACAGCUGGCCUUCUGCAGCCCCAGGGGGGAAGGCAGAGGUCAGUCUGGAGGAGGCUAAAGGGGAGGACUGAGGAGUAGUCAGGAAGGGGGUUGGGC
rnacentral:lncRNA from 1 species